UGGUCAUUGGUAAAAAUUACAACAGACUCUUGUCUGUCGCUUCAGUUAUGUUAAUGUGACAGUUUUUGCCAAGUUUUGUGUAGUUUUCUUAAUUUUUUUUAUAAAUACGUGAAAAAUGUUAUAUAAUGUUACGAAAUAAUUAAUUAUCUAGUAGUACGAUAUGUAUAUCAAUACUUCUAUGGUGCAUACAAGUCAUUACUAAUUCGGAGUGUUCAACUAUAACUAACCUCCUCUUCACAAGUAGCGACUACGUGACUUCGAAAUCUUGAGAAAUCAAUUUAAAAUGGAAAAAAAUAUGGCGUUCGCUAGUGGAAGUACUCAACCCUCGGCUCCUCCACCUUCGGCACCUCCUUCUUAUGAGGAGGCUGUUGAAAAUGCAGCUCGUGUAUCUCGGCAACCAAACAUUCCAGUAGCAAUUCCAUAUCCAGUGGGACCAUCUUCUAUGCCAAUGCCAUCUUCUAUGCCUCAUAACGCUCCUCAGAUAAUUCCAUCGAAUCAGACGACGGUGCCAUAUCCACCGAAUUAUUCUGGGCCCAGCGAAUCUAUGCCACAGCCACAAACACAAUAUAAUGCAAAUCCGAAUGCGGUGCCUCAACCGGAAGUCCGAGUUGUCUAUCAGCCAAUGAUUUAUUCUCUGAGUCCAAAUCCAACAAAAACAACGUGUCCCACUUGUCAUGCUAGUAUUAAAACUUCCACAAUGUCGGAUCAUCAGCGUUGUGCUCAUCUAUGCUGUAUCUUGCUCUGCUUAUUUGGGGGUGGACAAGGCGUACGAUGCUUAGGGAUGCUUGGUCGAACGACGGUGGGAAAGGCUGGUGGCGAUGGUGGUCUAGGUUGGGCGGAUUGCUGGCGAUGGCGACGGCCAUUUCCUGUCUUGUUGCCCCGUUUCCGGGCGCCUCGGCCAAUUCGGAAGCGAAGCGUCUCUACGACGACCUGCUGUCCAACUACAACCGCCUCAUCCGCCCCGUUGGCAACAACAGCGAUCGCCUCACUGUCAAAAUGGGACUACGCCUCUCCCAGCUCAUCGACGUUAACCUGAAGAACCAGAUCAUGACGACGAACGUUUGGGUGGAACAAGAGUGGAACGAUUACAAGCUGAAGUGGAACCCGGAUGAUUAUGGCGGUGUCGACACCCUCCACGUGCCGUCGGAGCAUAUAUGGUUGCCGGACAUUGUUCUUUACAACAACGCCGAUGGCAACUACGAGGUGACUAUUAUGACCAAGGCAAUUUUGCACCAUACGGGGAAGGUCGUGUGGAAACCGCCGGCCAUCUAUAAAUCAUUUUGCGAGAUCGACGUGGAGUAUUUCCCCUUUGACGAGCAGACUUGCUUCAUGAAGUUUGGUUCGUGGACUUACGACGGGUACACGGUCGACUUGCGACACCUCGCCCAGACCGAAGACUCGAACCAAAUCGAGGUCGGGAUCGACCUGACCGACUACUACAUUUCCGUCGAGUGGGACAUCAUAAAAGUGCCUGCCGUGAGGAACGAGGCGUUCUACAUAUGCUGCGAGGAGCCCUACCCCGAUAUCGUGUUCAAUAUCACCCUACGCCGCAAGACCCUCUUCUACACGGUGAACCUGAUCAUACCGUGCGUGGGCAUAUCUUUCCUCUCGGUGCUGGUGUUCUACCUGCCGAGCGACAGCGGGGAGAAGGUCUCGCUCUCGAUCUCGAUCCUGCUGUCGUUGACGGUGUUCUUCCUACUGCUCGCCGAGAUAAUACCGCCCACGUCGUUAACGGUGCCGUUGCUCGGCAAAUACCUACUGUUCACCAUGGUGCUGGUCACCCUCUCGGUGGUGGUGACGAUAGCCGUGCUGAACGUGAACUUUCGCUCGCCCGUCACCCACCGCAUGGCUAGGUGGGUGAGGGUGGUGUUCAUACAAGUGUUGCCGCGCUUCCUUCUCAUCGAGAGGCCGAAGAAGGACGAGGAGGAGGAGGAGGAGGAGGAGGUCGUGGUGGUUGGGAGGAACGGCGUUGCGGGGAUGAACGCCGACGGGGAGGCGGUGGACGGGGAGGGGGACGAGGACGAGGACGAGGACGACGACGACGACGACGUGGAGGCGGCCAACGGGAAACCGGCGGAGGGCAUGCUCACCGAUGUGUUCCAUGUACAAGAGACUGACAAGUACGACGCGUACUACGGCAACAGGUUCAGCGGGGAGUACGAGAUACCUGCCCACGGUCUGCCACCCUCGGCGACCAGAUACGACCUCGGCGCGGUGGCCACCGUGGGCACGACCGUAGCGCCCUGCUUCGAGGAGCCCCUACCCUCGCUCCCACUGCCGGGGGCUGACGACGACCUCUUCGGCCCGGCCAGCCCCGCAUACGUUCACGAGGACGUCAGCCCCACAUUCGAGAAGCCGUUGGUUCGCGAGAUCGAGAAGACCAUCGACGAUGCCAGGUUCAUCGCUCAGCACGCAAAGAACAAGGACAAGUUCGAGAGCGUGGAGGAGGACUGGAAAUACGUGGCGAUGGUGCUCGACCGGAUCUUCCUCUGGAUAUUCACGGUGGCCUGCGUGCUCGGCACGGUGUUGAUCAUUCUCCAGGCGCCGAGUCUCUACGAUACCACGAAGCCGAUCGACAUCAAGUACAGCAAGAUCGCGAAGAAGAAGAUGAUGCUGAUGAACAUGGGUCCCGAGGAGGACUAGUCGACGAUCCCGCGCGGCCCCGAGCCGCGUCCGCAGCGGCAGCUGCUUCACGUCGUCGUCGUCGUCGUUGUCGUCGUCGUCGUUGUCGUUCUCGUCAUCAUCCUCGUCGCCGCCGUCGCCGUCGCCGCCGCUGUCACCAUAACCGUGGUCGUUGUCGUGGCCGUUGUCGUUCAAUGGCCGCCGCCCAUCAUCCAAACUGCCGAUUUUCGCGUCGACGCGCAACAGGACCCUCUCUCGACCGCUGCUGCCAGAGAUGAUCGGAUCAUCUCCACAGAAGGAGAGGAAACACGGCCAGGAAACAAUAUCGUUACGCGACAAGGAGUCGCGGAGACCAGUCGAGGAUUCCACGGAGGUGGCGUCGAUCUUUCCCUCUCCGAACUUGCGAGGACGGCGAUCUUAUCCUGUUUACGGAUUUCGAUCCUGAAACUGUUUUUUCGAGACUUGGAUACGAGUGUUGAGUAUUGAGAAGGGGAGGAAGGCGAGAGAGAGAGAGAGAGAGAGAGAAUGGCCGAACGAGUGGAUGAGGA
rnacentral:misc_RNA from 1 species